rnacentral:misc_RNA from 1 species
GAUGAAGAACGUAUCGAAAUGCGAUAAGUAGUGUGAAUUGCAGAAUUCAGUGAAUCAUCGAAUCUUUGAACGCACAUUGCGCCCCUUGGUAUCCCGAGGGGCAUGCCUGUUCGAGCGUCAUUUCACCACUCAAGCCUGGCUUGGUGUUGGGCGACGUCCUCUUUGGGGACGCGCCUCGAAACGCUCGGCGGCGUGGCACCGGCUUUAAGCGUAGCAGAAUCUUUCGCUUUGGAAGUCGGGGCCCCGUCUGCCGGAAGACCUGCUCGCAAGGUUGACCUCAAAUCAGGUAGGACUACCCGCUGAACUUAAGCAUAUCAAUAAGCGGAGGA